rnacentral:rRNA from 1 species
GGAUUMCCUGAGUAACGGCGAGCGAAAAGGGAGGAGCCCAGCGCCGAAUCCCCGCUCUCMGGGCGUGGGAAAUGUGGCGUUUAGGAGUGAGCGUGCCGGKYGUGGACGAGGCGGCAAGUCCCCCUGACCGGGGCUUGUCCGUAGCGGGUGCGAGGCCCAUAGCCGCCUYUUYCGCUCCGGRUGCGAUYYCCUGGGAGUCGGGUUGCUUGGGAGUGCAGCCCUAAUCGGGUGGUAAACUCCACCUAAGGCUAAAUACMGCCGUGAGACCGAUAGCAAACAAGUACCGUGAGGGAAAGUUGCAAAGAACUUUGAAGAGAGAGUUCAAGAGUACGUGAAACUGCUCAGAGGUAAACGGGUGGGCCCUCGAAAUCCUGUGGCGAGAGGAUUCAGUCUGCGUCGGGGGACUCCKMGCCGGAAGACCAGAAGGGCUUCCCUGUACAGGGGCCGUCCGGUUUGGAGGCAUCUCUCGUUCCAGACGCAUUUGUCUCUCGUCCGAAGGACGCUGCAGCCGGUYUGGCAGUGCAAGCGCGACGGCCUGAAGGGCGRGAACAGGCAGGUGGCCGGUGGCGCGUCUCGUGYGUGCUAUCGGUUGUUAGCCAUCCCGUCGGUGGCACGUCGCCAGACCGUGGUGUCGCGAGUCCCCUUCCGGGGACUCCUCGUCUCCACCCCGCAGUUGCGGGACUGAUCGUGGCARGUGCAGUUCGCACUGACCGUCGCACUCCGCAGGAGUGGACGGACGGGCGGAACGUCCCGUUGGCCGCGACGGACCCGUCGGGGACCGGAGGCUKGCAGCGAGUAGGUCGGUCACCCACCCGACCCGUCUUGAAACACGGACCAAGGAGUCUAACWUGUGCGCGAGUCAUUGGGUCUUGAACAGGCCCAGGGGCGCAAUGAAAGCGAAGGCCUGCCUAGCGCAGGMUCAGUCGRGAUCCCGCCUCUCACGGGGUGGGCGCACCGACGACACGUCCUAUCCGGCUCGCCGGUUGGGCGUAGUCUGAGCGUACACGUUGGGACCCGAUAGACGGUGAACUAUGCCCGGACAGGAUGAAGCCAGAGGAAACUCUGGUGGAGGU